rnacentral:piRNA from 2 species
UCUGAAGACAAAAAGCUUUGGACAGGCGA